rnacentral:lncRNA from 1 species
UCUCUCUCUCUCACCACUUUUAAGUUUUAUCUUCACUUCCUCAUUCUCUCCUACUUUAUGCAAUAAAACAUCCAAAACAACAACAACGAUUAAGAUUUAGCUUCUUUGAGGAUCAAGUUCCCAAAACAACAACGACUAUGAAGAUGUCGUAAUUUUGAAGGAGCAAAAAACUUCAUCACUGAGAUCGAAAAUAACCACUUCGUGAUUGUUAAAUCCUACACCCCUGAUGUUGUCACAGUAACGUCAAGUUGUUUGUGUACGCCGCCGUCGCCGCCGAGUUGAAAAGAGACGGUGUAUAGUAUAGUUUUGGCCAUGUUGAAUGCUUUGAAGGAAAAUUAGUUCAUCAGUACCUUUAACAGGAAAUAGAACCCGCAUGAAAAUUAAUUAACAUAGCAUGAAAGAGAUGCAUAAAUUAAGGUUGAGAAAUUUAUUACUGACGUUGUUCCUCUACAUAGAUCUGUUAAGGAAGGAGAUUUUUGGGUUCUAAGAGAAGGAACAUGUUUGUUUUGUUUGGACGAGAACGAAGGCAAGCUAAUUUCUUUUUUAAUUAAAAAAAAUGGGAAAGUGCAGCGCGUGGUAAAUAGUUGUAUUCACGCGUCCGUGAAAUUUCGUUGUGAAACUGCCGUACCAAAUAGCAUUCCUGAAAAUAAUAUUCGCAAUGACCAAAACAAAAAGAGAUUUAACGUAUUCAUUGUCAUUAAAAUUUGUCCUCGUGAGCUUAGCUCAGUUGGUAUGAACUUCGAGAGGUUAUCCUUUCUUUCGUGCUUUGAUCUUAGCUGGUGGAAGUAGAGUGGCUAUUUGCUCCUGACCAUUCAAAGUAGUCAUUCUUGAAAAACAAUGCAUGGCAUGCUCUGCAUUCAUGUCCUCAUAUUUG